UCCUUCUUAGCUCAGUUGGUAGAGCGCGUCACUAGUAUUCAUCAAGUGUGUCGCUGUGGCUUCAGAAGAUCUAAUGACGAGGUCAGUCGUUCGAGUCGGCUAGAAGGAA